rnacentral:rRNA from 1 species
GAAGGAUCAUUACCGAGUGCGGGUCCUUCGGGGCCCAACCUCCCACCCGUGUCUACCGUACCGUGUUGCUUCGGCGGGCCCGCCGCAAGGCCGCCGGGGGGGCGUCCCCCCGGCCCGUGCCCGCCGGAGACCCUGUGAACGCUGAUCUGUGAAGGCGUGUCGUCUGAGUCGCGUGAGAAAUCGUGAAAACUUUCAACAACGGAUCUCUUGGUUCCGGCAUCGAUGAAGAACGCAGCGAAAUGCGAUAAGUAAUGUGAAUUGCAGAAUUCCGUGAAUCAUCGAAUCUUUGAACGCACAUUGCGCCCUCUGGUAUUCCGGGGGGCAUGCCUGUCCGAGCGUCAUUGCUGCCCUCAAGCACGGCUUGUGUGUUGGGCCGCCGUCCCCGCCCUCCGCGGGGGGACGGGCCCGAAAGGCAGCGGCGGCGCCGCGUCCGGUCCUCGAGCGUAUGGGGCUCUGUCACCCGCUCUGCAGGCCCGGCCGGCGCCCGCCGAGUCAACCACUUCUUUCCAGGUUGACCUCGGAUCAGGUAGGGAUACCCGCUGGACUUA